GAUGAACGCUAGCUACAGGCUUAACACAUGCAAGUCGAGGGGCAGCAUGACCUAGCAAUAGGUUGAUGGCGACCGGCGCACGGGUGAGUAACACGUAUCCAACCUGCCGAUUAUUCCGGGAUAGCCUUUCGAAAGAAAGAUUAAUACUGGAUAGCAUAACGAGAAGGCAUCUUCUUGUUAUUAAAGAAUUUCGAUAAUCGAUGGGGAUGCGUUCCAUUAGUUUGUUGGCGGGGUAACGGCCCACCAAGACAUCGAUGGAUAGGGGUUCUGAGAGGAAGGUCCCCCACAUUGGAACUGAGACACAGUCCAAACUCCUACGGGAGGCAGCAGUGAGGAAUAUUGGUCAAUGGACGAGAGUCUGAACCAGCCAAGUAGCGUGAAGGAUGACUGCCCUAGGGGUUGUAAACUUCUUUUAUAUGGGAAUAAAGUGGGCCACGUGUGGCUUUUUGUAUGUACCAUACGAAUAAGGGUCGGCUAACUCCGUG
rnacentral:rRNA from 1 species